rnacentral:rRNA from 3 species
GGCGCUCGGACCGCGACCCCAGGUCAGGCGUGGGCACCCGCUGAAUUUAA